rnacentral:rRNA from 1 species
CUACGGGGUGCACCAGGCACGAAUUCUUUCCAAUGCACGCAAGUGUGAGAAGGGGAUCCCUAGUGCUUAUAUACAAUAUAGGCUUUUGCCAAGAGUAAAUAUCUCGGCGAAUAAGUGGUGGGCAAGACUGGUGCCAGCCGCCGCGGUACACACCAGCGCCACGAGUGGCAACCGUAAUUAUUGGGCCUAAAGCGUUCGUAGCUGGUUUGGUAAAUCUUCUGUGAAAUCGUCGUGCCUAACACGACGGCGUGCAGGAGAGACUGCUAGACUUGGGACCGGGAGAGGUAGAGGGUAUUCCUAGGGGAGCGGUAAAAUGUUAUAAUCCUAGGAAGACCACCUGUGGCGAAGGCGCUCUACUAGAACGGAUCCGACAGUGAGGAACGAAAGCCAGGGGAGCAAAAAGGAUUAGAUACCCCAGUAGUC